AGGUCAUGGCCGUAUGCCCACAUGGUGUCUCCAGAGGAGGGACAACAUUCAGGAGCCGAGCCUUGGUGCCACCUCCUGGGGGGUCAGCCGUUGUGUGGAGACACCAGGAGAUCACAGAAGCCCUAGCAAUGUGAACUCUGACCUUACCUUCAUCACAGCUGCAGACCUGAGAAGAACUACUCAGUUUGCUCAUGACUUCCACAAUGAGUGAAGGACUGCUGUAUACAUUCAGUCAACCAGCAUGACAAGAAGACAAUAUCCUAGAAAAAUAUUUGGUGAGUAUCAAGAUUUGUUGUUGAGGCCUAGGCUGACACAAGGCUCUCUCUGAGGCCCUGCUGUGUCAAGAAAGAAUGUAGCUCCUUGUCUAAAGCCAGGAAUGUGCUUGCAGAUCCAAUGCUGGCCUGGGCGAGGGCAUGGGCACGGGGGUAGGGCUUUGGAUCCUGAGAACCCAACUCUUCAACCCUAAGGGGCUGUAGUUAUCAGUCCCAAGGCUUCUGUGUGCUUAGCUUCUGGUGCCCUUGAGAUUCCCUGUGUUCCCCUUGUGCAACGUUGUUUGAUUAGUCUCUUGCUGACUGUGUGCCAUUGUAUGACAGUUUCUGCUGACUUUGUCCUAUUUUCCUCCUGGAAAUAGCAUAUAAAAAGCUGUACUUCUUAAUAAGCUUGCUAAGCAUAAGACACAGCUUGUGCCAGACCUCCCAAACCCCAGCUUUCCUAUCUUUAUUAUAUGUUCACACAAAUGUAUUUGUGUAUGAGAGAGUGUAUGGGUGUAUGAGUGUGUGUGUGUGAGAGAGAGACAGAGACAGAGACAGAUAU